UUCCGGUUGAUCCUGCCGGAGGUUACUGCUAUCGAGGUUCGACUAAGCCAUGCGAGUCGAAUGUAGCAAUACAUGGCGAACUGCUCAGUAACACGUGGACAACCUGCCCUUAGGUUGGGUAUAAACCCGGGAAACUGGGUAUAAUACCCGAUAGGUCUCGAUUGCUGGAAUGCAUCGAGAUUUAAAGCUCCGGCGCCUAAGGAUGGGUCUGCGGCCUAUCAGGUAGUAGUGGGUGUAGCGUACCUACUAGCCUACGACGGGUACGGGUUGUGAGAGCAAGAGCCCGGAGAUGGAUUCUGAGACACGAAUCCAGGCCCUACGGGGUGCAGCAGGCGCGAAAACUUUACAAUGCUGGCAACAGCGAUAAGGGAACCUCGAGUGCCAGGUUACAAAUCUGGCUGUCGAGAUGCCUAAAAAGCAUUUCAUAGCAAGGGCCGGGCAAGACCGGUGCCAGCCGCCGCGGUAACACCGGCGGCUCGAGUGGUAACCGUUAUUAUUGGGUCUAAAGGGUCUGUAGCCGGCCGGAUAAGUCUCUUGAGAAAUCUGGCAGCUUAACUGUCAGGCUUUCAGGAGAUACUGUCUGGCUCGAGGCCGGGAGAGGUGAGAGGUACUUCAGGGGUAGGGGUGAAAUCUUGUAAUCCUUGAAGGACCACCAGUGGCGAAGGCGUCUCACCAGAACGGACCUGACGGCAAGGGACGAAAGCUAGGGGCACGAACCGGAUUAGAUACCCGGGUAGUCCUAGCCGUAAACGAUACUCGCUAGGUGUCGGCCACGGUGCGACCGUUGUCGGUGCCGUAGGGAAGCCGUGAAGCGAGCCACCUGGGAAGUACGGCCGCAAGGCUGAAACUUAAAGGAAUUGGCGGGGGAGCACCACA
rnacentral:rRNA from 1 species